UACGUAGGUGGCAAGCGUUGUCCGGAAUUAUUGGGCGUAAAGCGCGCGCAGGCGGUCCUUUAAGUCUGGUGUUUAAACCCGAGGCUCAACUUCGGGUCGCACUGGAAACUGGGGGACUUGAGUGCAGAAGAGGAGAGUGGAAUUCCACGUGUAGCGGUGAAAUGCGUAGAGAUGUGGAGGAACACCAGUGGCGAAGGCGGCUUUCUGGUCUGUAACUGACGCUGAGGCGCGAAAGCGUGGGGAGCAAACAGG
rnacentral:rRNA from 1 species